rnacentral:rRNA from 1 species
GACGAACCGAGCGAACGUUGUUCGGAAUCACUGGGCUUAAAGGGCGCGUAGGCGGGCUGGCAAGUUUGGGGUGAAAUCCCGCGGCUCAACCGUGGAACUGCCUCAAAUACUGACGGUCUCGAGGGAGAUAGGGGCGAGCGGAACUAAUGGUGGAGCGGUGAAAUGCGUUGAUAUCAUUAGGAACUCCGGUGGCGAAGGCGGCUCGCUGGAUCUCUUCUGACGCUGAGGCGCGAAAGCUAGGGGAGCAAACGGG